rnacentral:miRNA from 1 species
CCUCAUUGAUUGGAAGGAAUUCCUUCCGGUUGAUGGAGUUAUUAUGCCUCAUUGAUUGGAAGGAAUUCCUUCUGGUUGAUGGAGUUAUUAUGCCUCAUCAACCGGAAGGGAUUCAUUCCAGUCAAUGAGGCUGUUCCACCUCAUCGAUUGGAAGGAAUUCUUUCCAGUUGAUGGGG